GGUGCCGUGGCCGAGCGGACCAUGGCAAUCGGCGUGAGCGAGGCCCCCUCACGUCGACUGAUGGAGACGGGGCGGGCCUGCUCCUAUCCGUCCGCGGGUUCGAAUCCCGUCGGCACCG
rnacentral:tRNA from 1 species